AAAUACCUCUUUAUUUAUACUUUUCAAUUGAGGAUUAGAGUUAUGAAUUCUAAGGAGGAUAACAUUUUAUGUAGUUAAAUUGGAGGUACAUUCUAUAUGAUCCUGAAUUUCUAAGUACAAAUAACUACUUUAAAAAUUCCUAAAAGUGGGGAAAUGCAAAAAAUAUUUUUCGACAUUGCGUAUAUUGUAAUAUUCUAGAUUUGCCUUUCAUUUAAAAUUAUAUCUAUAUCUACUAUGUUCCUAAUUUACUUUAAAACUUAGUGCAUUAAUCAUAUAAGAAAACUUGUUAA
rnacentral:lncRNA from 1 species